rnacentral:sRNA from 1 species
ACCGGAGAGGCUCCCGUGAAGCCCGGCCUCAGCAGUCAUUUCCAAUACCAUGAUUCUUUCUCUGUUUUUUUUAAAAAAAUUCUUCCAAUGAUAUCUUUAUGAAAACAGAAAGAGAAGCAUCUGUGUUUCCUUCUAAUUACAUCUUGUAGCUGCCUGUUUGAUUUGCAUCUUUCUAAGAUGGUUGACUUUACAAGUUAUCUCAAUAAAAGUGGCCAGAUGCCUAACUCAGAACCAGAGCAUUUUGAACCACAAAAUGGAAUUGGAAUUUUGGCCCAGAACAAGCUGGUUCUGUUAUCAGGCCCCUGGGUGGGGCAGGGGGCAGCCAGCCAGGUCCUAGACAUAACUUUUGGGGGAUAUGGGGCUUGCGUCCCCUCAGUGUCACAACAUGCCUCACAGUGGACUUCGCAUGCGUUGAUAUUUGAAGCACGAUCAUCAAAACUUUGUGAUAAUUGAUCGUAGUGUUUAGUAACAAUGUAAACACUUAAAAAAAUUCAAGAUAGAAAAUAAAAACGAAGGCAAGUUGGGACUGCCAGAGAAGACCCGUCACUCCUCAUGCAAGUUAUCUGCGACUCCCAUAUGUUUUGUGUCAAAGACUCACCUUUAUUGUGCUGUCCAAUCCCUUCCCCAGUGCAGAAACAAGUCUCCCAUGGAGGGGGCUGGGGCAGACACAGUUUGCUGAAAGGAACAAUUUUGAGUGGUUGUGGCAUUCUGUGUCCAUUUCUGGCUCCACAGCUUUCUUCAUUUGUAGGAACAAGUCCUUGUCCUGUUGUUAGUGGCUGAUGGAAGUUGUCACCCACCAGGCACCAAGGCAGGAGUGACCCUAUACUGUCUUUCUUGUGGAGCUGGGUCUUGGCAGCCAGAUCUUGAUUCAGGAUCUGCCAUGCCACUUCCUGACCACAGCCCUGCUCCUCCAUCCUCUGCAGGUGAAUGCCCAGGCCCUUACCAGUGCCUUCUCUCCACACACCAAGCCUUGGAUUGGUCUGGCAGAAGCUCUCGGGACACUGAUGCGAGCCUGGGCUGGGUCCCCCAAAGGGACCAUCCAGGUGAUAACACAGGGAACAUCCCUGAAGAAUGCUGGGAACUGCCUAAGCCCCGCAGUCAUUGUCGGCCUCCUGAAAGAGGCUUCCAAGCAGGCGGAUGUGAACUUGGUGAACGCUAAGCUGCUGGUGAAAGAGGCUGGCCUCAAUGUCACCACCUCCCACAGCCCUGCUGCACCAGGGGAGCAAGGCUUCGGGGAAUGCCUCCUGGCCGUGGCCCUGGCAGGCGCCCCUUACCAGGCUGUGGGCUUGGUCCAAGGCACUACACCUGUACUGCAGGGGCUCAAUGGAGCUGUCUUCAGGCCAGAAGUGCCUCUCCGCAGGGACCUGCCCCUGCUCCUAUUCCGGACUCAGACCUCUGACCCUGCAAUGCUGCCUACCAUGAUGGGCCUCCUGGCAGAGGCAGGCGUGCGGCUGCUGUCCUACCAGACUUCACUGGUGUCAGAUGGGGAGACCUGGCACGUCAUGGGCAUCUCCUCCUUGCUGCCCAGCCUGGAAGCGUGGAAGCAGCAUGUGACUGAAGCCUUCCAGUUCCACUUCUAACCUUGGAGCUCACUGGUCCCUGCCUCUGGGGCUUUUCUGAAGAAACCUACCCACUGUGAUCAAUAGGGAGAGAAAAUCCACAUUCUUGGGCUGAACGCGGGCCUCUGACACUGCUUACACUGCACUCUGACCCUGUAGUACAGCAAUAACCGUCUAAUAAAGAGCCUACCCCC